UUGAAUAAUUUAAAGACUUCAACUGGCAUACUUGGAGGAUUUUAAGACUUCAACUUUCAUAUUUGGAGGAUUUAAAGACUUCAUCU
rnacentral:pre_miRNA from 1 species